rnacentral:lncRNA from 1 species
AAGGGAGCGGAAAGGCCGAGCGCCACCCGCCCCGGGAGUCUCCAGAGCAGCGCGCGGGGCAGACCUCCUCGGGUCCUCCGGCGCUUCGGUCUCCGGAGACGCCCGGCCUCCUGAAGGGUUCGGCUUGUCCUCCUCUGGCGCUCAGCUCCCUCUGGCGGCCGGGCUGGCAGGACCUCAGCGCCCAGCCCUUCCGUCUUGUUACGUCCAGGGUCUCACUCUGUGUCUCAGGCUGGAGUACAGUGGUGCAAUUGUAGAUGGCUGCAGCCCUCGACCUCCUGGGCUCAAGUGAUCCUCCUGCCUUAGCCUCUCGAGUAGCUGGGAGUACAGAUGCACACCACCACACCCAGCCUAGAAUGAAGAAACCUGCAGUUGGGAAGCAUGAAUUUACCACCUAUUAAGAAGUAGUCAUCAGGCAUGACCUCCCAUGGGUGCUCACAGAAGAUGGUGCCGUGCAUGUGCAGAACUUCCCAGGCCAAGAUCCACCACAUUGGACCCACUGAGAGACACACUGCCUUAUGCCAGGGACCUGGUGGAAAGGUCACCCCCAGAAUGGACAGGCUGGGAAGAGCUCACUUAACAGUAGUCUCACUUUGUCGCCCAGGCUGGAGUACAGUGGUGCGAUCUUGGCUCUCUGCAACCUCUGCCUCCCAGGUUCAAGUAAUUCUCCUGCCUCAGCCUCCCGAGUAGCUGGUACUACAGGCACACAUUUGUAGAGAUGGUGUUUCCCCAUGUCAUCCAGGCUGGUCUGGAACUCCUGGGAUCAAGUAAUCCACCCGCCUCGGCCUCCCAAAGUGCUGGGAUUACAGACGUGAGCCACCACGCCCUGCCAAUAAAAAGAUUAUCUCCAGAUGCUGGAAUGACCAGUAAUUUAUUUUCUUCCUUUUUUUUUGUCUGCACUUUCUACCAUAAUCAUAUGUUAGCUUCUUACUAAGAAGAAAAGUCAAUGUUAUUUCCCUGAAAAAGUAAUGUUGUUUGGUUAUUAAACAAAUUUAAUUUUCUAAACAAGAGUACGACAGGUAAACUGCCUACCUUAAAAGCAAACGAACACAAAUAAAUAAACUAACCAUCUUCCACUUCAGUCUC